rnacentral:piRNA from 1 species
UAAAAGAUGGUUAGUGCUUUCAGCCU